rnacentral:rRNA from 1 species
UGGGGAAUAUUGCACAAUGGGGAACCCUGAUGCAGCAACGCCGCGUGAAGGAAGACGGUUUUCGGAUUGUAAACUUCUGUUCUUAGUGAAGAAUAAUGACGGUAGCUAAGGAGCAAGCCACGGCUAACUACGUGCCAGCAGCCGCGGUAAUACGUAGGUGGCAAGCGUUGUCCGGAAUUACUGGGUGUAAAGGGAGCGCAGGCGGGAGACCGAGUCAGCUGUGAAAACUACGGGCUUAACCUGUAGACUGCAGUUGAAACUGGUUUCUUGAGUGAAGUAGAGGUUGGCGGAAUUCCGAGUGUAGCGGUGAAAUGCGUAGAUAUUCGGAGGAACACCGGUGGCGAAGGCGGCCAACUGGGCUUUAACUGACGCUGAGGCUCGAAAGUGUGGGGAGCAAACAGGAUUAGAUACC